rnacentral:rRNA from 1 species
UACGUAGGGGGCAAGCGUUGUCCGGAUUUAUUGGGCGUAAAGAGCGUGUAGGCGGCCUGGUAGGUCAGCUGUGAAAACUCGAGGCUCAACCUCGAGACGCCGGUUGAAACCAUCAGGCUAGAGUCCGGAAGAGGAGAGUGGAAUUCCCGGUGUAGCGGUGAAAUGCGCAGAUAUCAGGAGGAACACCGAUGGCGAAGGCAGGUCUCUGGGCCACUACUGACGCUGAGAAGCGAAAGCAUGGGGAGCGAACAGG